rnacentral:rRNA from 1 species
GACGAACCGUACGAACGUUAUUCGGAAUCACUGGGCUUAAAGGGUGCGUAGGCUGCGCAGCAAGUUGGGUGUGAAAUCCCUCGGCUUAACCGAGGAACUGCGCCCAAAACUGCCGUGCUCGAGGGAGAUAGAGGUGAGCGGAACUUAGGGUGGAGCGGUGAAAUGCGUUGAUAUCCUAAGGAACACCGGUGGCGAAAGCGGCUCACUGGAUCUCUUCUGACGCUGAGGCACGAAAGCUAGGGUAGCGAACGGG